rnacentral:rRNA from 1 species
AGAGUUUGAUCCUGGCUCAGGACGAACGCUGGCGGCGUGCCUAACACAUACAAGUCGAACGGGGUUUAUGCCUUCGGGUGUAGACCAAGUGGCGGACGGGUGAGUAACGCGUGAGUGACCUGCCUUACAGAGGGGGAUAACACUUGGAAACAGGUGCUAAAACCGCAUAAGACCACGGCCCUGCAUGGGGCUGGGGUAAAAUGAGCGAUCAGCUGUAAGAGGGGCUCGCGUCUCAUUAGAUAGUUGGCGGGAUAACAGCCCACCAAGUCAACGAUGAGUAGCCGGCCUGAGAGGGUGGACGGCCACACUGGGACUGAGACACGGCCCAGACUCCUACGGGAGGCAGCAGUGGGGAAUAUUGGGCAAUGGGGGAAACCCUGACCCAGCGACGCCGCGUGAGGGAAGAAGGUUUUCGGAUUGUAAACCUCUGUACUGCGGGACGAGGAGAAGACGGUACCGCAGAAGGAAGCCCCGGCUAACUACGUGCCAGCAGCCGCGGUAAUACGUAGGGGGCGAGCGUUGUCCGGAAUGACUGGGCGUAAAGGGCGCGUAGGCGGCGCGGUAAGACGGGUGUGAAAACCCCGGGCUCAACUCGGGGCAUGCAAACGAGACUGCCGUGCUGGAGUGCAGGAGAGGGAAGCGGAAUUCCUAGUGUAGCGGUAAAAUGCGUAGAUAUUAGAGGAACACCGGUGGCGAARGCGGCUUUCUGGACUGUAACUGACGCUGAGGCGCGAAAGCGUGGGGAGCGAACAGGAUUAGAUACCCUGGUAGUCCACGCUGUAAACGAUGGAUACUAGGUGUAGGGGGUAUCGACUCCCUCUGUGCCGGAGCGAACGCAAUAAGUAUCCCGCCUGGGGAGUACGGCCGCAAGGUUGAAGCUCAAAGGAAUUGACGGGGACCCGCACAAGCAGCGGAGCAUGUGGUUUAAUUCGACGCAACGCGAAGAACCUUACCAGGUCUUGACAUCCUGCUAAAGCAUAAGAAAUUAAGUGUGCCCUUCGGGGCGAGCAGAGACAGGUGGUGCAUGGUUGUCGUCAGCUCGUGUCGUGAGAUGUUGGGUUAAGUCCCGCAACGAGCGCAACCCUUACGGAUAGUUGCCAGCAGGCAAAGCUGGGCACUCUAUCAGGACUGCCGGGGACAACUCGGAGGAAGGUGGGGAUGAGGUCAAAUCAUCAUGCCCUUUAUGAUCUGGGCUACACACGUGCUACAAUGGUCGACACAAAGGGAAGCGAAGCCGUAAGGCGGAGCGGAUCUCAAAAAAGCGAUCUCAGUUCGGAUUGUGGGCUGCAACCCGCCCACAUGAAGCCGGAGUUGCUAGUAAUCGCGAAUCAGCAUGUCGCGGUGAAUACGUUCCCGGGUCUUGUACACACCGCCCGUCACACCAUGGGA